rnacentral:rRNA from 1 species
UACAGAGGUGGCAAGCGUUGUUCGGAAUUACUGGGCGUAAAGGGCGCGUAGGUGGCCCGGUCAGUUCGUGGUGAAAGCGCGGGGCUCAACCCUGCGUCGGCCAUGAAUACUGCCGCGGCUGGAGCACUGUAGAGGCAGGCGGAAUUCCGGGUGUAGCGGUGGAAUGCGUAGAGAUCCGGAAGAACACCAGUGGCGAAGGCGGACUCACUGGCCCAUUACUGACGCUGAGGCACGAAAGCGUGGGGAGCAAACAGG